rnacentral:snRNA from 1 species
AUGCCAAGUUGACAUUCGAUACCAUGGUCAAGUAGGUGUUUUUCCUAAAGUGAGGCUCGCCCAUGGCACUCAGGGUGUGCUGACCCCCGUGGUUUCCUCAAGUGGGGCAAAUUUGACUGAAAUUUGUGGGAGGGAGGGACUGUGUCCAUGCCUUAC